rnacentral:rRNA from 1 species
AACGCGAAGAACCUUACCAAGGCUUGACAUAUACCGGAAAAGUUCAGAAAUGUUCUCCCCGCAAGGUCGGUAUACAGGUGGUGCAUGGUUGUCGUCAGCUCGUGUCGUGAGAUGUUGGGUUAAGUCCCGCAACGAGCGCAACCCUCGUUCUAUGUUGCCAGCACGUAAUGGUGGGAACUCAUAGGAGACUGCCGGGGUCAACUCGGAGGAAGGUGGGGAUGACGUCAAAUCAUCAUGCCCCUUAUGUCUUGGGCUUCACGCAUGCUACAAUGGCCGAUACAAAGGGCUGCAAUACCGUAAGGUGGAGCGAAUCCCAAAAAGUCGGUCUCAGUUCGGAUUGAGGUCUGCAACUCGACCUCAUGAAGUCGGAGUCGCUAGUAAUCGCAGAUCAGCAACGCUGCGGUGAAUACGUUCCCGGGCCUUGUACACACCGAGACGUA